UAAAACAUCAUAAUCAAUCGGGAAUCCAUUUAAAUAGCUGUUUUAAAUCUCGUUUGUUGUUUCAUUAAUAGAAUAUAAGAUUUAAAUUAACAUACAUGUGAGCAUGGCGCCUAAUGUGGAUGCCUUUUUUGUGAUAACGGCAAUUUGAUUACAACUUUUACACCACUGUAAUGAUUUUUUUUUCAGAUGGUCUUAUGAAAACUCAUAAGACAAUAACAAAAAGAGAAGCUGAGGAUGCUGUUUUUAAAACAUGUUCCAUUCAAAAAUGGUGGAUUGAAAUUUAAGAAAGGUGUGACGGGUGCGGCUACUGCAGGCAGGGAGGAUUUGACGGUCAGCCAGAGGAUUUGGAGAUAUACUGUAAUGUCUUUAAUGUGGACUUGCGUGUGAUUUAAGUUUUCACAAGGGUUUUAGUGUGUGUGUAAGUAUGUCAGUUUUCAAAAUUGAGCUAUGACAAUUUGCUCAAACUACAUAACUCAAAGAACUUUGAAGCGGUCUUGUUGACGUCAUGAGCUUUUGUUUAAUACCAGUAUUGGUGAUAUAGGCCCAUGAUUAUAUACUGUAGAAAGUGAACAAGUUCACUGCUCGAUACAGAUAAUCAUAUGGCCUGAUCUCUGAAUGAUAUUUAUGAACCAAAAGAAGGCAUAAAAUAAAAACAUACUGUAGUGAUUUAAAUUAUUGAUAUUGUUAAACUAGAUCUGGGCCUGUAUUCAUAAAGGAUCUUAGUAAAA
rnacentral:lncRNA from 1 species